CAAUAGCGUAUAUUAAAGUUGUUGCAGUUAAAAAGCUCGUAGUUGGAUUUCUGGUGGGAGCGAUCGGUCUGGCGCUUAGCGCGAGUACUUGCAUCGUCUCCGGCCAUCCUUGGGGAGAGUCUGUCUGGCAUUAAGUUGUCGGGCAGAGGAUCCUCAUCGUUUACUGUGAAAAAAUUAGAGUGUUCAAAGCAGGCUUAUGCCGUUGAAUAUAUUAGCAUGGAAUAAUAAGAUAGGACUUUGGUACUAUUUUGUUGGUUUGCGCACCAAAGUAAUGAUUAAUAGGGACAGUUGGGGGUAUUCGUAUUCCGUUGUCAGAGGUGAAAUUCUUGGAUUUACGGAAGACGAACUACUGCGAAAGCAUUUACCAAGGAUGUUUUCAUUGA
rnacentral:rRNA from 1 species